AGCAGCCGCGGUAAUUCCAGCUCCAAUAGCGUAUAUUAAAGUUGUUGCAGUUAAAAAGCUCGUAGUUGAAUUUCGGGGUUAGUAGGUUGGUCAUGCCUCUGGUAUGUACUGGUCUCACUGAUUCCUCCUUCCUGACGAACCUUAAUGCCAUUAAUUUGGUGUUUUGGGAAAUUUGGACUGUUACUUUGAAAAAAUUAGAGUGUUUAAAGCAAGCUAACGCUUGAAUACAUUAGCAUGGAAUAAUGAAAUAGGACGUUCGAUCCUAUUUUGUUGGUUUCUAGGAUUGACGUAAUGAUUAAUAGGGAUAGUUGGGGGCAUUAGUAUUCAAUUGUCAGAGGUGAAAUUCUUGGAUUUAUUGAAGACUAACUACUGCGAAAGCAUUUGCCAAGGAUGUUUUCAUUAAUCAAGAACGAAAGUUAGGGGAUCGAAGACGAUCAGAUACCGUCGUAGUCUUAACCAUAAACUAUGCCGACUAGGGAUCGGAUGAUGUUAAUUUUUUAAUGACUCAUUCGGCGCCUUACG
rnacentral:rRNA from 1 species